GGCACUAUGCCUGAGUGGUUAAAGGGACAGACUAGAAUCUGUUGCGGUCUCCGCGCGCAGGUUCAAUCCUGCUGGUGUCG
rnacentral:tRNA from 1 species